UAACUGUUGGGGGAUUGGGUUGGGUGAUUCGUGCCCUCUAUGCCACCAUGGCGCUGGUGGUGAUUGAGCUCUUUUGCCCUAGUGGUCUAAUAUUAACCAGUUACAUAUAUUAUCUAAUACACUCUCAUUCCUGCAUCAGAGGAUUAGAUUAGAUUAGGGGAUUCGAAUUAGGGUUAAGGAUUAGAGCCUUGCAAAAUAAGAAAAAUCAGCAUCAUUGAGAGGGAUCAAGAGAUGUAGUGAUGAUGUGUGGAUUUGUGUGGAGUAUACACUAGUUUAUAGAGUUUCAAUGAAGUGAGGGUUUGUCAGCUUUUUUGCAUCAUGAUGAACUUUUGCAUUGACUAUGAUAUGGUGCAAGAUUAGGACCUUACUAAGUGUAUUGAAUCUUCAGGCCACACC
rnacentral:sRNA from 1 species